AGGUGUGGAUAAGUACGGUCCGAGGUUCAAUUUGAUAGAGAGAUACUGCCAAUUCAACACGAAGCGUUCUGCAAAAACAUUAAAACAGAAAUACCAAAGUAUUAUGAAGGUAUAUGUUUUAUUUCAAACAAAGAAUUUUCUUCAGGCCAUGUUUUCAAAUUACUUGAAUCAACAGGAUAUUUUUUGUUCAUGAGUUUGUUCAUGUGUUUGUUUGUUUGUUUGUUUGUUUGUUUGUUUGUUUGUUUGUUUGUUUGUUUGUUUGUUUGUUUGUUUGCUUGCUUGCUUGUUUGUUUGUUUGCUUGCUUGCUUGUUUGCUUGCUUGUUUGUUUGUUUGCUUGCUAUAUUUCCUUGCUUAGCGUAAUACUGCGCAUUUUUUCAGGCUGCAGAGAGAACACAAAGAAACCCAUUUACUGUUCAAGAAGAACAGAACCUAAAAGAAGGUGUGUCCAAAUAUGGCUACAGAUGGAAAAGUAUCCUCGAUCAUUACAGGUUUAAACAAGGACGAACGCCACAAAAUCUCAAAGAUAAGUGGCGAAAUUUAUUAAAAACAUGCUAAUUAUUUGCUAUGAUUUAUAUUGUACCUGAUUUCAAGUUUUCAAUAGUGUUUAAGAGUAAAGGCCGUGUUGUGACGUUGUGGCUUUUCUUGUAUGUUGUCUUAUAAUAAUAAAAUGGCAAAUCGUAUAAUUGCAACUGCGCUUCCAACUCUUUGUCUUUAAAAACAUGCGGAUUAACAUGCAAAAAAUGUUCGGAAACCGAACAGUUCCUCACGAUUGACUGCCUCAUUACAAAAUUUUUUUUUUAAAAAUGAUUUACUUUUGAUUACCCCACAUGCAUGCAGAAGACAAAACAUAGUAUACUACAAACAGACAGUCUGUUUUAUGUAAAUGUAAAGGAGUUGGUUGAAUACUUUGAUGUGCAUGUUAUAAAUCUACGUAUAAACAUUGCUGCGAGAACGGUUGCUAUAGGUUUAGCAUACCUUCCACUCGUCUAGUCAAGUAAAACCUCGUCAGUUCUUGUUCGCACGUUAUAGCGUCGCAAUACCGAAAUAUUUCCAUAUAAUAUUGAAAAUAUAUAAUAUUUCCAUAUUAUAUAUUUCCGAAAUAUUGAAAAUACUUGGCUACAAUUAACGUAUGUACGACGUUUUCAAUUUUACGUCCACUAUACGAUGCACCAUCCCAUCAGUGCAAAAUCGCGAAGUGCAUUGGAAAGUUGCAUAUUGUAACAUCGCCACAAAUUUAUAUUGUAAUUAAUGAAUGUAAAUUAAAAGUUCCUUUAAUUUAAUUUAAUUUAAUUAAGCUAUUUAAAUGUGUAAAGUGUGGCAGC